GCACAUGAUGUUUCGGUGGCGCAGCUAACGCAUUAAGUUAUCCGCCUGGGGGAGUUCGGGUGGCGAAGAUUAAAAACUCAAAGGAAUUGACGGGGGCCUGAACAAGCGGUGGAGCAUGUGGUUUAAUUCAAAGCAACGCGCAGAACCUUACCAACGUUUGACAUCCCUAUAGCGGUUACCAGAGAUGGUUUCAUUCAGUUCGGCAGGAUAGGUGACAGAUGCUGCAUGGCUGUCGUCAGCUCGUGUCGUGAGAUGUUGGGUUAAGUCCCGCAACGAGCGCAACCCUCGCCUUUAGUUGCCAGCAUUAAGUUGGGUACUCUAAAGGAACCGCCGGUGAUAAGCCGGAGGAAGGUGGGGAUGACGUCAAGUCCUCAUGGCCCUUACGCGUUGGGCUACACACGUGCUACAAUGGCGACUACAGUGGGCAGCGACCGUGCGAGCGGAAGUGAACGGANAACAAUUUCACACAGGAAACAGCUUUGAUCAGGAUUCAAUCAAGCUCUGUAGACGACAAUGUAGAAUAUUCAAGCUAUGCAUCCAGGAGGCUGGGAGCUAUACUCAAUCGUCGACUUGCACGCGGUGGGAAGAUUUCCUUGAGAUGAGCGUUCUUUACCUGGCUCAGAAGUCGCAAGUUAAUACUGGUAAUCUUGUCUCAGGGUAGCAGUAAAAACAAGCAAGCCAAAAAGAAUUCCGCCCCCCCCAGCCCCUGUGAGCGGAUAACAAUUCACACAGAAACAGCUAUA
rnacentral:rRNA from 1 species